rnacentral:rRNA from 1 species
UCCUACGGGAGGCAGCAGUGAGGAAUUUUCCGCAAUGGGCGAGAGCCUGACGGAGCAAUGCCGCGUGGAGGAUGAAGGCCCGUGGGUUGUAAACUCCUUUUCUCAGAGAAGAAGCCCUGACGGUAUCUGAGGAAUAAGCAUCGGCUAACUCCGUGCCAGCAGCCGCGGUAAGACAGAGGAUGCAAGUGUUAUCCGGAAUCACUGGGCGUAAAGCGUCUGUAGGUGGUCUAGCAAGUCAACUGUUAAAUCUUGAGGCUCAACUUCAAAAUCGCAGUCGAAACUGUUAGACUAGAGUAUAGUAGAGGUAAAGGGAAUUCCCGGUGUAGCGGUGAAAUGCAUAGAUAUCGGGAGGAACACCAAAGGCGAAGGCACCCUGCUGGGCCGAUAUUGACACUGACAGACGAGAGCUAGGGGAGCGAAUGGGAUUAGAUACCCCAGUAGUCCUAGCCGUAAACGAUGGAUACUAAGUGCUGAACGACUCAAAACGGGCAGUGCUGCAGCUAACGCGCUAAGUAUCCCGCCUGGGGAGUAUGCCCGCAAGGGUGAAACUCAAAUGAAUUGACGGGG